GUAACAAGGUUUCCGUAGAAAGUACGAACGAAUUUAAUGAUUCUUCUGCGGUUGAAACUUAUCGAAGCCUUAGUAGCCUGAAAGGUGCUUUGCGCGACUAUAAACAAUGACGAAGCUUAAAUGCUAGUGAAGACAGUGUUCGCACUGAAUAAUCUUUGCAAAACCAUCGAAUUGCGGGGACGCCCUUAGAGCUUCACGUACGGCCAAUCGUUCGAAAGGAUUGAUUUGGCAUCAGGUUAAUGGCCUCGAGUAUCGUAAUAACCGUGAAGAUUGGGUAAUCCGCAGCCAAGUGCUAAACAAGUAUUGGUAAACUCUACUUGCAUGCUAAUGGUUCACAGACUAAGUGAUGGUUGGGGAGAUGUCUAGUCUCUCUUAAGAUAUAGUCGGGCACCUCGGGAAACCUUGGUGGUAAUUCAACUGUGAAUAUGCUCUAGUUUCGGCUAGUUCAUAUCAAUAUGAGAUAACUGU
rnacentral:ncRNA from 9 species